UGUACCCUCAAGCACUGCUUGGUGUUGGGCGUUUGUCCUGCAGAGGACUCGCCUGAAAGCGAUUGGCGGCCAACGUAUCGGUGGCAGAGCGCAGCACAAUCUCGCGUCUCUCCCCUCUACGUCGGCGUCCAUGAAGCCUACAAUUUCAAC
rnacentral:misc_RNA from 1 species